CUCCUGCGCCCCGGGGUGGGGCUGGCCGGGCUACUCGGGCCACGCAGCUGGAACCUGGAAAUUAGGAUUGGAAUCCUGAACUCCUAAAUCCAAACUACAGACUGGAAGUUACCAAAAAAUGUCACAGUGGUUCCUUGAUCAGGUAGAAAGAUGACAGAGCCCAACAUACCAGAACCUAGAAAGGAGGCGAAGGAGGCGGUCUAGAGGGAAGAGCACUUUGGUCAAAGGAUCAGGUGCAUAAAUGCGGAGGAAUGAGGAUGCCCGGCUUGCUGGAGGAUCAAGGGAAGAUGGCCUGCAGGAGCCAAGAAGUCUGGAGCAGCCAAAAAAACACAAAAGAAGUGCAACAAAAGAAGCUCCUGCCUUGACUGAUUGACCAGCCUUACGACGUUCCACCAUUAUGAAUUGUUCCUGUCCUGCCCCAACUGAUCAAUCGACCUUGUGACAUUCUUCUUCUGGACAAUGAAUCUUAUGAUCUCCCCACCAUGGACCCUGUGACCCCCUCCUCUGCUGACAAUAGAUAACCACCUCUAACUGUAACAUUCCACUGCCUACCUCAGUCCUAUAAAGCUGCCCCUCUCCUAUCUACCUUCGCUGACUCUCUUUUCGUACUCAGCCCACUUGCACCCAAGUGAAUAAACAGCCCUGUUGCUCACACAAAGCCUGUUUAGGUGGUCUUCUAUACGGACACAUGUGACAGAUAGCCAAUGGGUAAAACAACCAAGAAGACUGCUUUUGUCACUUAUGACGAGCUUUUACAGUUUCCCAGUUAGAUGGGAGAGAUUAUAAUUUAGUGAGGAUACAUCCUGGGAGAUGAAGAUGACCCUAUGUACAUCUUCCAGUCCAAUUAUAAGGCACAUAUGGCCAGCCAUGUGACCCACAUGCCCAUAAUCAACCCCAAGGAGAAGUACAAGCACCUAGCCAUAAAGACUCAUUUUGCCAUCCCAUCCACGUUUGGCUAGUUACAAGAAGGGUGCAAUUAUAGUGUUGGGGUAGUAACCAUUCCAUGUUACAGGUUUCAGUGUAGUAAUCACUGCUAUUGUCUUUCAAAGCAUAGGGGCACUCUGCCUAAUACCUGAACUUAGACAGCUGUCAUCCAUUCAUCGUGUACAGUAUAACCUUACGUCAGAGUGGAGUUUAAUUUUCUGAUCAAACAAAAAAGAGGCUUCUUUGUUUCACGGUGGGAAGGGAAAGGGCUGGGCCCUGUGUUUCUGUAGUAGAAGGGAAAAAGGGUGGUCCAUUUACCCCAAUCAUAAUAAUUUCCCCAUAUGCUCAUAGUGGCUGGCAGGAUGUGCCAGGGCAGCCUGAGGUGGAGGAGGCAUUAGUUCCGUGCAUACUCAGCAAUUAGUGUUGUUGUGUAGGGAGGCUAAAGUCUGUGCCCAUUUGGCAAAGAGAUUGCUUCUUAGCUGGUUCCAAUACAUGCGCAGAAUUAAGAUGUUAAUCCAAAUCUUUAAGUUAUU
rnacentral:lncRNA from 1 species